rnacentral:tRNA from 1 species
GCGGGUGAUCCGGACGGUGACCUGGUCGCCGUGUUUGACGUACAUGAGUGCCUUGAUAUCGGCGCCCUUGCCGGCGUUCGAUCCGCUGCCGCCCGCACC